AUGGGCAAGAAGCUGAGCAAGGUCGACGGCGCGCGGUGCAGGCGGCACCGGCGGCAGGGGGAGCAAGGGGUGUGCCCGCUCUGCCUGCGGGAGCGCCUGUCCCGCCUCUCGCCCUCGGCGACGCUGCCGUCCGUCCUCGCGCGCGAGGCCUCCUCCUGCUGCUCGGACUCGGACUCGGACUCGGAGGCGUCGUCCACGGAGGCGUCCACCGGCGCGUCGUCGGGGUCCGCGAGCCCCGGGUUCCACCGGGAGAUCAAGCGCGCCGCGAGGCCGUCGCUGCUGAUGCGGCACGAGCGGGUGGUGGCCGUGGACGGCGACGAGGUGGUGCUGGUGAUGAGAAGGAGGAGGGAAAGGCCGGCGACAAGCUUCUGGGCGAAGUUGCUGCGCGCGGCGACCGGGGGUAAGAAGGCCGUCGAUGGGUGCUCGGUCGCGCACUCCAGGACGAUGAAGGCCGCCGACGGGAGCAGCGCCGAUGCCACGAAGUGGAUCAUAUUCUAA
rnacentral:rRNA from 1 species